UACCGGCAGCCCGAGUGAUAGCCACUUUUAUUGGGCCUAAAGCGUCCGUAGCUGGCCGAACAGGUCCGUCGGGAAAUCCACCCGCUCAACGGGUGGGCGUCCGGCGGAAACCAGUCGGCUUGGGGCCGAGAGACCAGAGGGGUACGUCCGGGGUAGGAGUGAAAUCCCGUAAUCCCGGACGGACCACCGGUUGCGAAAGCGCCUCUGGAGAACGGACCCGACAGUGAGGGACGAAAGCUUGGGUCUCGAACCGG
rnacentral:rRNA from 1 species